CCUACGGGAGGCAGCAGUGAGGAAUAUUGGACAAUGGAGGCAACUCUGAUCCAGCCAUGCCGCGUGCAGGAAGACGGCCCUAUGGGUUGUAAACUGCUUUUAUACGGGAAGAACCACUCCGACGUGUCGGAGCUUGACGGUACCGUAUGAAUAAGGACCGGCUAACUCCGUGCCAGCAGUACGCGGUAAU
rnacentral:rRNA from 1 species